AGGCCAGGAGGCACCUGGUCUAACAAUGGAUGUGAAGUGACGUCAAUUUCUACAAAUGAGCCAUUUUGGGAGAACAGAUCAUUUUCUGAACAGUUCUUUGGCAGCGUAGUGUGCUAAGAAAAGAUUUUGCCAAAGCGAUGUGUGGGACAGCGUCUCUUGUUUUGAAAAACUGCAGCUGGUACACAAUUGGGCUCCACCAGCCAACAUCAGCACCGGACUCCUCUUCAUUAUAGAAAGGGGCCUGAGAAACCAGCUCAGCAUCAAUUUGAAAAUCCAUACUUCUUCAUCAAGUUUGCCAAUCUCUUCUGGUGCAACAACGUUUGGUAAAGCCCGACCCAAGGUAAUAAACGCUGUACAAACAGAGUAAUCCUGCAGUAGAGAUGGACUGAGUGCAGACAGUGCUGUGAUUGUACCGUUUUUCAGUGGAAGGUUUUUUAGCAGAAAUUCUGCUGCUUUCAUAAAUCCUUCUCAA